rnacentral:lncRNA from 1 species
UGCAGAAUACCAUGCAUGGAGGCGAUGUGGUGUUCUCGGCAACUUUGGCAGGACACGUGAAAUGAGCCUUGAUACACUGCCUUGCCGACUCUGCGAACUAGUUAGCAAGAGAGGUGGUAGAAGUGCAGACUCAUUUUGAUUGACUGGUUGGUACCCUACUUACAUCCUCCGCAUUCACUUUAUGUUGUUAGCACAUUCAUAGUAAACCUUUCUUUUGUUUAUACUAGGUGAUAACAUUGUGUCUUACAUAUACUUUGAUCCAAUGAGAACGGGAUGACUUGCAACAAAUGGUCUGCCUGAGUGAUGAGAUUAUAAAGAAGAUGAAGUGGUCAUAUUAUGGAAUGUCAAUAGCUGAUAUUCUUCUAAGACCACACCGGCUGCCUUUUUAUAUAUUAUUUUCUCAAUCUUGUUUUGUCUCGUUGACUGCAGUUAAGUGGUGAAACUGUUUUUUUGACGGAGGUUCAUGUUUGUAGGUGGUGAAACUCACAAAUACACUUCAUCUGUUAAUAUGAAUACAUUAUAGGGUCAUAUGACCGUUUCUUAUAAGGAGGCACUGACAAAUUAAAGACAUGUGUUGGGUUC